rnacentral:rRNA from 1 species
UGACCAUAAACGAUGUCAACUAAGGAUUGGAUAAGAAAUAUCGAAGUAUUGAGUACUCACUCGGUCACAUCAGUGACUGGAUGAGUAUUUGACUUCAAAUCUUCCCUUAUUCAGGACUUGAUGAGAAAUCAUUAAGUGAAUGGACUUCAGGGGGAGUAUGGUCACAAGGCUGAAACUUAAAGGAAUUGACGGAAGGGCACACCAGGAGUGGAGCCUGCGGCUUAAUUUGACUCAACACGG